rnacentral:lncRNA from 1 species
CGGAAGAAACGCGUUUUUCCCCGCCACUGCAUUUGAGGAAUGGAAAAAUAAACCAAAAUCGUUCAUCGGGCCUGAGAAACCUUGAGAAGCAUAUUACCCUACGGUUGUUUUUUCAUCGAAAAGUUGAAGGAUUUCUGACAUCUCAAUUAGUAACGCAUCUGGAAUGUUUGCUCUCCAGGAAUAGAUGUACCCACCAAAAGCCUUGCUUGCAGCCACCUCCACGUCUCUCAACCUGCCUGAGUGCAGGGCUUAUGUUACAAGGAAUUCUCAAAGCUGUGUUAUCAAAGCUGUGAAAUCAAAGUCUCUACCCCUCUGAAGUUUACCCGGAUGGCCUGACUCAUCCCAGAAGUGGUGGAGUCUACGUCCCCUCUCCUGGAGACUGAGUGGAGCUUUGUGACUGCUGCAGCCAUUGGAGUAUGGCAGAAGUGCUGUUAUGUCACUUAUGAGAUUGGAUCAUAAAAAUGCCACACACUUCCUUCCUCUCUUGGAAUGCUGAGGCCAUGUUGUGAGGAAGUCCAAUGAGCCCCUGUGGAGAGACCAUAUAGAAUGACUACUUUGAGAUGUUCCAGCUUACAGCCCUGCUCGGCCCUAGCCAACAGCCAGCAUCUUUCACCAGACAUAUGAGUGACGACCCUCCAGAUGAUUCCAGCUUCCAGCCAGUGAAUCACAUCUAGCUUUCAAGUCUUCCCAGCCGAGGCCCCAAGCAUUGUGAAGCAGAGAAUGACCUCAUGUCUUUCUACCUGAAGCCUGCUAUACCAUUUGUUGCACACAACUUCUACAAUCUCUAUGGACUUUAUACAAUGUACUUAAUAAUGAAAAGCACUGAAGAGAGAGGAAGAAACAGGGAAAAGGGAGACCAAGUCAUAUCAGGAUUUGAAUUUGAAAAUCAUCCAGGAAAUCAGAUGAUGCCUGGAAGUGUAUUAACUAUCCUGAGCUGACAACAUGCCGACCCACUAAUGGAAAAUUGUGACUAACACACCUGCCAGGUUACUAGAUUUUUCCCUUCAUAGAUAUUUUCUUGGUGCAUGUUUGAAUGAAUGGAUGAUUAAUUGAUAAGAUUUUAAAAGAGUUCGGUUGACACCAAUCAUAACUGGAAGCAAAAGAGAUUCAUCUGAGUUCUUUCAAAUUAUGCUUGCCUGACACCUUCUCCACUUCAACUUGUUGAAAGGCCCAGGGUGAAUCACCUGCCUGCACAAUAUAACAAAGGGAACAGCACAUGCACCCAUGGGCCUCUGCUAAUCUCUGGGCUGACCUCUGUUAGCCCCAUGGUUAUUCUGGUCUAGACAGGCUUAUGCUGAGAAAUACUUUACAUUUUCUGAAGACAAGUGUUAUGUAAUUCUGGUGCUUAGAGAAUACUUAAAUGAUUCUUCCAAAUUGUGCUCCUAAUUUCUGAAUGUCA